ensembl:lncRNA
GAAAGCGUGUAACUUUGGCCUAAUAAUGAACUUUUCAUGGCGAAGAAGAAAUACACGAACUAACUGGCCACUUCAGAGACGCUGUCAGUAUCGGUUCUGUUUGCUCCAAGCCAAGUCAGAGUGAAAACCCUGUUAUGCUGUAAGUCUAAAUCAAUGGCCGUUAUCUCUUGGCAUGAAUCGAAUGGCAAAUUCGAUUCAAAUGAGGAACAAUUUAAGAUCCAGAUGUGGGCUCCCCGGUGAAUGUCUUUGCAUAGAGAGAGAGGGAAGGAAACAUUCAAGAUUCUGGAUGAGGGACAGAGCGGAUGGAGAAGGGGAAAGGCUGGAUACAAAGGGAGAGAGAGGGAGCAUCCCUCCUGCUGUACCCACCUGCCCCCCUGCAUAUGCCAGAAAAAUGAGAAUAGAUUGGCCCAUCCGUGGAUGGUGCCAGGUGGCAUUUAGACCCCCAAGAAGAUAUGUGUGCAGUCUAUCUACCUCACAGUGACAGACGUUGGGCCUGGAGAGAGAGGAAAAGAAAAAAGGAAGCAAGUCGGAAAGGAUAGUAACGGAGGAGGGGGAAAGCAGAAAAACCCUAGUAGGUUCAAGUAAAUGUGUUGUCCUGCUAAAGGCACGCUUGUUUUCUUGUCAUUAUCUCAAGCUGCUGUUGCACAGCGAGCCAGAUGUACAUGUGGGAGUACGCAAACGGGCUAGUGACAAUAGGAAUGCCCCUUUUUGCAUUGCCAUGUAAUCUUAGCCUUUUCCUUGUUUUGAAACCGUACUUGAGCUGGAUUUGAAAUCCUGUUAUAUGGAUUAGUGAACACUUAAACAUUAUGGAAAUUAAAAAUCAGGGAGCACAGAUGUGAUUUUGCAACACACAUGCCUAAAGGAAUGUUUUUAUGAUUUAAUACAAGUUAAGUUCAAUCAAGAGCAUCUGUGGUAUAAUGUUCAUUACCACAAAAAACAGUUUCAACAUCGUUUUCUUUAUUAAGAAUUUCGGGUUAAAUUAAGAAUAUUUCAGGUUAAGUUCAGUCAACAGCAUACAUGGUAUAAUGUUAGUUAUCACAAAAAAUUGAUUCUGCUCAAACGUUUUCUUUUUUUUAAACCAAAAAUCAAGGCUACAUUGAGGUACGUAUAAUCAAAGUAAAUGGCACCAGUAAUUUAGAGGAUUUAAAAGCAGGAAUGUGAAGUAUUGCAAUUUUAUAAAACCACUUACUUUUGUUAAAACUUGAGUUUUAUUUGAGCUGCAAAACUAUUUAGAUCAUAAAUUUUACAGUGAUUUUGGAGCAUUACCUUGUCAUGGCAAUGAAGUUACAACCACAGUUGUAUAUACUGUAACUUUACAAAGAAAAGGUUAGUAAGCAAUUUUUCAGAGCAUGUUGUUCAUAUCUUGUGGAUAUACUUUUGAAAGAGCAAAUAGUUUAAUGUAUUCACGUGUUAAAGAAAAGGAAAUGAAUUUUUGUGGAAAUCAACAUCAUGCCACAAUGGCUGUCACUUGUACUGUACCC